UACGUAGGGUGCAAGCGUUAAUCGGAAUUACUGGGCGUAAAGCGUGCGCAGGCGGUCUUGCAAGACAGGUGUGAAAUCCCCGGGCUUAACCUGGGAACUGCACUUGUGACUGCAAGGCUGGAGUACGGCAGAGGGGGAUGGAAUUCCGCGUGUAGCAGUGAAAUGCGUAGAUAUGCGGAGGAACACCGAUGGCGAAGGCAAUCCCCUGGGCCUGUACUGACGCUCAUGCACGAAAGCGUGGGGAGCAAACAGG
rnacentral:rRNA from 1 species